rnacentral:rRNA from 1 species
GAUGAACGCUGGCGGCGUGCCUAAUACAUGCAAGUCGAGCGAACGGACGAGAAGCUUGCUUUUCUGAUGUUAGCGGCGGAUGGGUUAGUAACAUGUGGAUAACCUACCUAUAAGACUUGGAUAACUUCGGGAAACCGGAGCUAAUACCGGAGAAUAUUUUGAACCGCAGGGUUCAAAAGUUUAAGACGGUCUUGCUGUCACUUAUAGUUUGAUCCGCGCUGCAUUAGCUAUGUGGUAAGGUAACGGCUUACCAAGGCAACGAUGCAUAGCCGACCUGAGAGGGUGAGCGGCCACACUGGAACUGAGACACGGUCCAGACUCCUACGGGAGGCAGCAGUAGGGAAUCUUCCGCAAUGGGCGAAAGCCUGCCGGAGCAACGCCGCGUGAGUGAUGAAGGUCUUCGGAGCGUAAAACUCUGUUAUUAGGGAAGAACAUAUGUGUAAGUAACUGUGCACAUCUUGACGGUGCCUAAUCAGAAAGCCACGGCUAACUACGUG